AACGAACGCUGGCGGCAGGCUUAACACAUGCAAGUCGAACGGGUGUAGCAAUACAUCAGUGGCAGACGGGUGAGUAACACGUGGGAACCUUCCUAGGGGUACGGAACAACUCAGGGAAACUUGAGCUAAUACCGUAUACGUCCGUGAGGAGAAAGAUUUAUCGCCCUUAGACGGGCCCGCGUCGGAUUAGGUAGUUGGUGGGGUAACGGCCUACCAAGCCUACGAUCCGUAGCUGAUCUGAGAGGAUGAUCAGCCACACUGGGACUGAGACACGGCCCAGACUCCUACGGGAGGCAGCAGUGGGGAAUCUUGGACAAUGGGCGCAAGCCUGGUCCAGCCAUGCCGCGUGAGUGAAGAAGGCC
rnacentral:rRNA from 1 species